rnacentral:rRNA from 1 species
GACGAACGCUGGCGGCGUGCUUAACACAUGCCAGUCGUACGGUAAGGCCCUUUCGUGGGUCCACGAGCGGCGAACGGGCGAGUAACACGUGAGUAAGUUGCCCACAACUUUGUGAUAACGAUAGUCAACUGGUGCUAGUACUUGAUAUGUGCUCCUUCUGGAUGCUGGGGGUUGGAUAGCUCCGGGGGUUGGGGAUGGACUGGCUGCCUAUCUGCCUGCUGGUGGGGUAGGUGGCUACCAACGCGGCGGCGGGUAGCCGGCCUGCGGGGGUGACCGGCCACAAUGGGGCUGGGGUAAGGCCCAAACUCCGAAGGGGGGGAAGAGGGGGGGAUCUUGGACAAGGGGCGCAAGGCUGAUGCCGCAACCCCGCGGGCGGGAAGACGGGCUUCGGGUUGUAAAACGGUUUCAGCAGGGACGAAGCUUUUUGUGACGGUACCUGCAGAAGAAGCACCGGCUAACUACGUG